UUAGUUAUUGGACUUUUUUCAUUGAGUAAUCAACACAAAGAUAAGUUUUUUUUUUCCUCUUCUUAUUUAUUUCUAAUUUAUAAGUUUACUUUUUUCUUUAUCGUGCUUUGUAACUCAUACAAAUAUUUUCAUGGUAUUUCAUUUUAAUUGCAAUUGAUUAAACUUAAUUGUAUAUUAUUAUUAUAUUUUCUAAAAAUAUACUUAUCCAUUUUUCAUAUUUUUUUUUGUAAAUUUAUUAAAAUAGAUUCAUAACUGUUAUCACUAGAUAUUUGGAUGCUAUACAAGAAGAUGCAGAUUUGUAAAGAAACAGAAUGUGUGAAUUUAAUGACGGUGCUACUUCAGAGUUAUCUAUUUGGUAUUUCUUUGCAAUUUAUUGUAUAAGACUCUUUACCAGUUGUGAACUUGUUGUCUAAUUUUCUAAUAGUAUCAUUGAUUUAUAUUUAUCAUUAUAGAUUAAUAGUGCAUACUCUCUUUCAUGACGAAGAACUUGUUUGACUAUUAGUUUUAUAGGAAGUAUGAUAUUAAAAUUACUUUCCUAGCUAACCCUUCACAAAAGCAAUAAUUAAUUACUGUACCUAACUUGUUAAUAUUAGUCGAUCGAUGCAUAUGCGUGGACGGUGCAUAUCCAUCGAUCCAUCGACCCCAUCGAUCACCUAUAUAUACUGUGAACAGAAUACGUAUCUUAUUACAGUCACUUACAUCUCACUUCUCACUGAUUAUUCAUAAGAAGAGAGUUUUUGUUAUGAAAAACAUUAAGCUUAUUUUCGUUGUGGCCUUGUUAUGUAUCAUCGGAUCAACCAAGGUGGCCAAGGCUGGUCCAAAUAAUCCUCAUCAUGAUCCUGAUGAGAAGUCCUCUGAUCAUCAUCAAAAACCAUUGUUAGAUCAAAAAGGUCUCUUGAGACCUAUUCUUGGUCCAAUAUUACCCAAACUACCUAAGCCAUCACUGCCACCAAUAUCCUUACCCAAACUACCUAACCCAACAGUACUGCCACCAAUAUCCUUACCCUCAACCAAAUUACCACCAAUAUCCUUACCCACCAUAUCACCAUUAUCCUCAAUAAUACCCAAAACACCCCCUCGAUCUUCUUUGUCUCCAAUCUCAUUACCCUCCAUAUUACAUCGAUCACCACCACCACCAGCAUCAUCAUCCUCAUACACCUCCAAAACUCCAUCUCUGUCUAGGCCCCUGAUGAAAUCUGAACCUUAAAAUGGAAUCAUAUAAUGACAACGGUAAUAAUAAUAUUCUAUAUGUGACCGACAUAAAUAAUUGCUGCUGUUUGUGUAUACGUGCCGUCCGGCCAUGCAUGGAGUGCAGGAAAGCCCUAAUGAGAAUACUGGAAUGAUCUGCUCAUCAAAGUGAUUAUUAAAGUAAUACUCAUAUAUAAAAUACAUCUAUUGAAAUACAAUGCUAUUUGUAACUUUCUUAUUAAAUGAAAUUAAUCGAGAAUAUAUAUAAAGUUAUUUUAUAA